GUCGCAGAGAGACAGAGAGCGUGUACGGGAGCGCGCCUGGGAUUUUCUCUCCUUUCUCCUAGAGGAUCGCGUUCAGGAAUUAUCCAGAGGACUUUCAUGUGAACAUACACACACAGACACACACACACACACACACACACACACACACAGAGUGUGAGUGUGUGUGUUUAUUCUGCUAUAUAAGGGAUGAGCUGAUACACAUGUGAUGGAUCACACAUUUCGGGAAUGAUGGAAAACCUGUUAGGAAUAUAAACACACUUUACAGCUUGGAGUGUGAGAGCAGGACAUCAUCCUCACAGCACACAUGGAACAUCACCAGACUGUGUUUUGGACUCAUAAAGAAACUGCAAGAAGGAAGCGUACAGAGUAGGGCUGGGCGAUAUAUUGAUAUAAUAUCGAUAUCGUGAUAAAUGAC
ensembl:lncRNA